UGCGGGGUGGUGUAAUGGUAGCACACGAGGCUCUGGACCUCGUGGUUCUGGUUCGAAUCCAGACCCCGCAG
rnacentral:tRNA from 1 species